rnacentral:lncRNA from 1 species
GAUUGGCUACCUCCUCAUAACCAUAAGAUAAUUAAAACUUGGCGGGGGGGGGGGGCAGGGUUAAAAAAACUUUUUUUAUCAGUCAGAGGAUAAUGCAAGUGUUUAACAGAUGCUUCACUAUUAAAAUAUUUUCCCCCCAAGUCUCAAAUAUUGAAGAAUCUCUAACCAGGGACACCAGUCCCUACGAAGACCUUGGGCGAUUUUGAAGUGCGGGCACCUCGAUUCCCCGAAUCUGUAGUGUGGCUGGUAUCGGUGUUCCCCUGGUUUAACUAGCCUGUUUGAAGGCACAGAUCAUUCAUGGGGAUGUAUAACCGAAACCAGUCCUCUCCACCGCCUGGGGAUCUUCACUUUCGCAGUCUACGACUGCCUGUGACUCCAGAAAGACAAACUGCAGAUUGGCCAAGCUGCCUGAAGACCCAGCCCGACAGCGAUGCCUGUCAGCCCGCGUCGCCCACCAGGGCAGCUGCUCUCCCAACUCGCAUGGGGGGCACCACCCCGCCUCGGUGCCCUAGAGCUGAGCGCAGCCGCGGCUCCACGGGGAUCGCCAGGGCCUCAGCCCUCGCGGCCGGCGGCGCGGGAGUGUUGCGGGGCAGGGACCAGAGCGCGAUCAGAGCGGCCACCCCCGAUUUAGGUCGCCAGCUUUCCAGUCACUGCGAUGGCCACUGGGGCGCCCCUUCCAUCCUGGUUAAAUUCUCAUUGUGAUCCCCAGCCCUCUUCUCGGUUCCCCACACCCAGGAGGCCGGUUCUCCGCCGCUCAGGCUGGGAGAGGUCACCGCUCCGGGCAGGGUGGACCCCCAGCUCCGUCUCGGAGGACCUUUCGCCGGAGGCGAGCAGGAAGGGGUUAACCAUGAGCCUCCCACCCUCACCUCCCAGACCCUGGUGCCGGGCUAAGGCCUCCGCUUCCCUCCUGAGGUCUCAUUAGGAAACCCUCACCGCUAUUUUCAACAUUUCCUCAAUCAAGUGCCUUUAAAUAGAGCUGCACAAACAGAUUGGCGGCAAAAGCGUAGAUCUUGUCACGAUUGAGACCAAUCCAGUAUUUCAGCCUUGUUUGCUUUGCAAUUACGGGUUGGCUUGUGGCUACGGUGCCACCGGGGCAAAUCUGCAGCCGCUCGCUUUCUCCUCUGCGCUCCGGGCGGGUGGAGGAAGCGACCCGCGGAGUCACUGCAGGGAGGAGAGGGGGACGCGCGCGGGGGGAGGCGGCGGAGGGCGGAGGAGACUCGCUUGCACCCCAGGGCCGCGGGCACGCAGAGCUGUGUUGAAGGACAUACUUUUCAGGUUCCUGACAGUCACUGAGCUAUACGCAAUAAUAAAGUGC